rnacentral:rRNA from 1 species
GAUGAACGCUGGCGGCGUGCCUAAUACAUGCAAGUAGAACGAUGAAGGAAGGAGCUUGCUCUUUCCGGAUGAGUUGCGAACGGGUGAGUAACGCGUAGGUAACCUGCCUGGUAGCGGGGGAUAACUAUUGGAAACGAUAGCUAAUACCGCAUAACAGUAGAUGUUGCAUGAUUUCUACUUAAAAGGUGCAAUUGCACCCCUACCAGAUGGACCUUCGUUGUAAUAGCUAAUUGGUGAGGUUACGGCUCACCCAGGCCACGGUACAUUACCGACCUUAGAAGGGUAUCCGCCACAACGGGAACUGGAAAACGCCCAGACCUCUACGGGGAGCAGCAGUAAGGGAUCUUCGGCAAUGGACGGAAGGCUGACCGGGCAACGCCGCGGUGGUGAAGAAGGUUUUCGGAUCGUAAAGCCCUGUUGUAAGAGAAGAACGAGUGGGAGAGUGGAAAGUUCACACCGUGACGGUACCUUACCAGAAAGCGACGGCUAACUACGUG